rnacentral:rRNA from 1 species
CUAGCGGCAGGCCUAACACAUGCAAGUCGAGGGGCAUCACGGAUUGCUUGCAAUCUGGUGGCGACCGGCGCACGGGUGCGUAACGGCGUAUACAACCUACCUUUUUGGAGGGGAGUAGCCCAGAGAAAUUCGGAUUAAUACCCCAUAGUAUAUAGGAAUCUCCUGAUUUUUAUAUUAAACAUUUAUGGCCAUUAGAUGGGUAUGCGUCCUAUUAGCUAGUUGGUGUGGUAACGGCACACCAAGGCUACGAUAGGUAGGGGUCCUGAGAGGGAGAUCCCCACACUGGUACUGAGACACGGACCAGACUCCUACGGGAGGCAGCAGUGAGGAAUAUUGGACAAUGGGCGGGAGCCUGAUCCAGCCAUGCCGCGUGCAGGAAGACUGCCCUAUGGGUUGUAAACUGCUUUUACAGAGGAAGAACCACCCCCACGUGUGGGGGUUUGACGGUACUCUGCGAAUAAGGAUCGGCUAACUCCGUG